GGUUAAGUGACUAAGCGUACACGGUGGAUGCCUGGGCAGUCAGAGGCGAUGAAGGACGUACUAACUUGCGAUAAGCGCAGAUAAGGCAGUAAGAGCCGUUUGAGUCUGCGAUUUCCGAAUGGGGAAACCCAACUGCAUAAGCAGUUACUGUUAACUGAAUACAUAGGUUAACAGAGCAAACCGGGGGAACUGAAACAUCUAAGUACCCCGAGGAGAAGAAAUCAACCGAGAUUCCGGUAGUAGCGGCGAGCGAACCUGGAUUAGCCCUUAAGCACUCGGUGAAGUAGGUGAACAAGCUGGAAAGCUUGGCGAUACAGGGUGAUAGCCCCGUAACCGACGCUUCAUCGAGCGUGAAAUCGAGUAGGGCGGGACACGUGAUAUCCUGUCUGAAUAUGGGGGGACCAUCCUCCAAGGCUAAAUACUCCUGACUGACCGAUAGUGAACCAGUACCGUGAGGGAAAGGCGAAAAGAACCCCUGUGAGGGGAGUGAAAUAGAACCUGAAACCGUGUACGUACAAGCAGUAGGAGCACCUUCGUGGUGUGACUGCGUACCUUUUGUAUAAUGGGUCAGCGACUUAUAUUCAGUGGCAAGGUUAACCGUAUAGGGGAGCCGUAGCGAAAGCGAGUCUUAACUGGGCGCUCAGUCUCUGGAUAUAGACCCGAAACCGGGUGAUCUAGCCAUGGGCAGGUUGAAGGUUGAGUAACAUCAACUGGAGGACCGAACCGACUAAUGUUGAAAAAUUAGCGGAUGACUUGUGGCUAGGGGUGAAAGGCCAAUCAAACUCGGAGAUAGCUGGUUCUCCCCGAAAGCUAUUUAGGUAGCGCCUCGGACGAAUACUACUGGGGGUAGAGCACUGUUAAGGCUAGGGGGUCAUCCCGACUUACCAACCCUUUGCAAACUCCGAAUACCAGUAAGUACUAUCCGGGAGACACACGGCGGGUGCUAACGUCCGUCGUGGAGAGGGAAACAACCCAGACCGCCAGCUAAGGUCCCAAAGUAUUGCUAAGUGGGAAACGAUGUGGGAAGGCUCAGACAGCUAGGAUGUUGGCUUAGAAGCAGCCAUCAUUUAAAGAAAGCGUAAUAGCUCACUAGUCGAGUCGGCCUGCGCGGAAGAUGUAACGGGGCUAAGCAAUACACCGAAGCUGCGGCAAUGUCUUUUAGACAUUGGGUAGGGGAGCGUUCUGUAAGCCGUUGAAGGUGUGUGGUAACGCAUGCUGGAGGUAUCAGAAGUGCGAAUGCUGACAUGAGUAAC
rnacentral:rRNA from 1 species